rnacentral:rRNA from 1 species
GACGAACGCUGGCGGCGUGCUUAACACAUGCAAGUCGAACGGAAAGGCCCUGCUUUUGUGGGGUGCUCGAGUGGCGAACGGGUGAGUAACACGUGAGUAACCUGCCCUUGACUUUGGGAUAACUUCAGGAAACUGGGGCUAAUACCGGAUAGGAGCUCCUGCUGCAUGGUGGGGGUUGGAAAGUUUCGGCGGUUGGGGAUGGACUCGCGGCUUAUCAGCUUGUUGGUGGGGUAGUGGCUUACCAAGGCUUUGACGGGUAGCCGGCCUGAGAGGGUGACCGGCCACAUUGGGACUGAGAUACGGCCCAGACUCCUACGGGAGGCAGCAGUGGGGAAUAUUGCACAAUGGGCGGAAGCCUGAUGCAGCAACGCCGCGUGCGGGAUGACGGCCUUCGGGUUGUAAACCGCUUUCGCCUGUGACGAAGCGUGAGUGACGGUAAUGGGUAAAGAAGCACCGGCUAACUACGUGCCAGCAGCCGCGGUGAUACGUAGGGUGCGAGCGUUGUCCGGACUUAUUGGGCGUAAAGGGCUCGUAGGUGGUUGAUCGCGUCGGAAGUGUAAUCUUGGGGCUUAACCCUGAGCGUGCUUUCGAUACGGGUUGACUUGAGGAAGGUAGGGGGAGAAUGGAAUUCCUGGUGGAGCGGUGGAAUGCGCAGAUAUCAGGAGGAACACCAGUGGCGAAGGCGGUUCUCUGGGCCUUUCCUGACGCUGAGGAGCGAAAGCGUGGGGAGCGAACAGGCUUAGAUACCCUGGUAGUCCACGCUGUAAACGGUGGGUACUAGGUGUGGGGUCCAUUCCACGGGUUCCGUGCCGUAGCUAACGCUUUAAGUACCCCGCCUGGGGAGUACGGCCGCAAGGCUAAAACUCAAAGGAAUUGACGGGGCCCCGCACAAGCGGCGGAGCAUGCGGAUUAAUUCGAUGCAACGCGUAGAACCUUACCUGGGUUUGACAUGGAUCGGGAGUGCUCAGAGAUGGGUGUGCCUCUUUUGGGGUCGGUUCACAGGUGGUGCAUGCCUGUCGUCAGCUCGUGUCGUGAGAUGUUGGGUUAAGUCCCGCAACGAGCGCAACCCUUGUUCACUGUUGCCAGCACGUUAUGGUGGGGACUCAGUGGAGACCGCCGGGGUCAACUCGGAGGAAGGUGGGGAUGACGUCAAGUCAUCAUGCCCCUUAUGUCCAGGGCUUCACGCAUGCUACAAUGGCUGGUACAGAGAGUGGCGAGCCUGUGAGGGUGAGCGAAUCUCGGAAAGCCGGUCUCAGUUCGGAUUGGGGUCUGCAACUCGACCUCAUGAAGUCGGAGUCGCUAGUAAUCGCAGAUCAGCAACGCUGCGGUGAAUACGUUCCCGGG